UACGUAGGGGGCUAGCGUUGUCCGGAAUCGAUUGGGCGUAAAGCGCGUGUAGGCGGUCCGGUAAGUCCGCUGUGAAAGUCGAGGGCUCAACCCUCGAAUGCCGGUGGAUACUGUCGGGCUAGAGUACGGAAGAGGCGAGUGGAAUUCCUGGUGUAGCGGUGAAAUGCGUAGAGAUCGGGAGGAAGGCCGGUGGCGAAGGCGGCGCUCUGGAACGUUUCUGACACUGAGGCUCGAAAGCGUGGGAGCAAGCAGG
rnacentral:rRNA from 1 species